rnacentral:misc_RNA from 1 species
UCCUCUUUACAGAGGCAGUUUGUACCGAGUCCCCGGCAUUAUCCGCUGGUAACAGAACAUGAGGGUUGCGCUCGUUGCGGGACUUAACCCAACAUUUCACAACACGAGCUGACGACAGCCAUGCACCACCUGUGCUACACCCUCGAAGGCGACCGCUUUUGGGCGGCUUGCAGUAGCAUGUCAAGCCCUGGUAAGGUUCUUCGCGUUGCAUCGAAUUAAGCCAUAUGCUCCACCGCUUGUGCGGGCCCCCGCCAAUUCCUUUGAGUUUUAACCUUGCGGCCGUACUCCCCAGGCGGUGCGCUUACCGCGUUAGCUGCGACACCGAGGGGCGAGCCCCCCGACGUCUAGCGCACAUCGUUUAGGGCGUGGACUAC